CCUACGGGAGGCAGCAGUGGGGAAUAUUGGGCAAUGGGCGCAAGCCUGAACCAGCCAAGCCGCGUGAGGGAAGAAGGCUUUAGGGUUGUUAACUUUUUUUCUCAGGGACGAAGCAAGUGACGGUACCUGAGGAAUAAGCCACGGCUAACUACGUGCCAGCAGCCGCGGUAAUACGUCGGUCGCAAGCGUUAUCCGGAUUUACUGGGUGUAAAGGGCGUGUAGGGGGGAAAGCAAGUCAGACGUGAAAACCAUGGGGCCAACCUGCGCCCUGCAUUUGAAACUGCUUUUCUUGAGUAGUGGAGAGGUAGACGGAAUGCCUAGUGUAGCGGUGAAAUGCGUAGAUAUUAGGAAGAACACCAGUUGCGAAGGCGGUAUGCUGGACAGCAACUGACGCUGAGGCGCGAAAGCGUGGGGAGCAAACAGGAUUAGAUACCCGAGUAGUC
rnacentral:rRNA from 1 species